rnacentral:ncRNA from 1 species
AAUCGUGAGGUUGGGGCCAAAGGAAGUGUGAAACAAAAUCGAGGGCUAACGAACAGAAACUUACUACAAGGCUGCAUAAACGGAUAAGGUUGCUAUACAAACUAAAGUCCCAAAGAUACUCGUAACUUUAUGUAGUAAAGUGAGUAACUAAUCGAGGAA